UACGGGGGGAGCAAGCGUUGUUUGGAUUUACUGGGCGUAAAGGGCGCGUAGGCGGCCAGCGCAAGUCAGUUGUGAAAUCUCCGGGCUUAACUCGGAAAGGUCAACUGAUACUGUGCGACUAGAGUGCAGAAGGGGCAACUGGAAUUCUCGGUGUAGCGGUGAAAUGCGUAGAUAUCGAGAGGAACACCUGCGGCGAAGGCGGGUUGCUGGGCUGACACUGACGCUGAUGCGCGAAAGCCAGGGGAGCGAACGGG
rnacentral:rRNA from 1 species